UGCGUAGGCGGACUUGCAAGUGCCUUGUGAAAUCCCAUGGCUCAACCAUGGAACUGCUCGGUAGACUGCAAGUCUUGAGGUCGGUAGGGGUCGCUGGAACUCUAGGUGGAGCGGUGAAAUGCGUAGAUAUCUAGAGGAACGCCAAAGGUGAAGACAGGCGACUGGGCCGAUUCUGACGCUGAGGCACGAAAGCGUGGGGAGCGAACGGGAUUAGAUACCCCGGUAGUCCACGCCCUAAACGAUGUGCACUAGAUCCUGGAGGCUCUGACGCCAUCAGGGUCGAAACUAAAGCGCUAAGUGCACCGCCUGGGGAGUACGGUCGCAAGGCUAAA
rnacentral:rRNA from 1 species